rnacentral:rRNA from 1 species
AUUGAACGCUGGCGGCAGGCCUAACACAUGCAAGUCGAACGGUAACAGGAAGCAGCUUGCCGCUUCGCUGACGAGUGGCGGACGGUGAGUAAUGUCUGGGAAACUGCCCGAUGGAGGGGGAUAACUACUGGAAACGGUAGCUAAUACCGCAUAACGUCGCAAGACCAAAGAGGGGGACCUUCGGGCCUCUUGCCAUCGGAUGUGCCCAGAUGGGAUUAGCUUGUUGGUGAGGUAACGGCUCACCAAGGCGACGAUCCCUAGCUGGUCUGAGAGGAUGACCAGCCACACUGGAACUGAGACACGGUCCAGACUCCUACGGGAGGCAGCAGUGGGGAAUAUUGCACAAUGGGCGCAAGCCUGAUGCAGCCAUGCCGCGUGUAUGAAGAAGGCCUUCGGGUUGUAAAGUACUUUCAGCGGGGAGGAAGGUGUUGUGGUUAAUAACCGCAGCAAUUGACGUUACCCGCAGAAGAAGCACCGGCUAACUCCGUGCCAGCAGCCGCAGUAA